GUGCUCUUCUGCACACAGCUGCCAAGGUGUGCGCAUACCCAAAAACCCCUCAUCGUCUCCAUGCUCAUUUCCAUUAGUUUUCUGAAACCACUCCGAUCCAAUGCUACACAGCCAAGCAUGUCAUGCAUGCACCCUCAUAGCCUAUCUGAGGCUAAUCACCAUUUCAUCUAAAAGCAUGCAUGUCCCAGAAAACUGUGAAUUAAAGCAUGGAUUAAGCAUCUCUGAAUCUUUUAUUACAUUAUUAUCGGUGAUAGUGUAUCCUAGAUUUUUUUAAAUCAUCGAUAGAGCAAUCGUCUAAACAUUUUAUUUUAUUUUUGCAUUAAUUGUUCAGGUUCAAAAAGGAGCCUCGGAAUGCAGAGAUAGUGUUUUGCUUGUCCAUGCAUUAAUUUAGAAAGCACCAUGAUUGAUUAAUCCAUUUAAGAGAGAAAAGCGGCAGGGAUGUGGGCUAAGAGCCUCCAUUCUUUACAAGCUGCGCCAUCUCCGCCACCCAGUCGACUAACAGAUUUCAAAGAGUUGAUGAACACCCUCUAGAUCCAGGCCGGGGACCAAAGGAACAUAUUUAUCUCUAUGUGUGAUAUCUUUUCCAUCUCCAAUGGUCAUGGAAAGGGAAUUGACAAAAUGAAUCCUGCUUCUGGCUCCUUGGUUAAUGCACUGGACUGUACCGGGGGUGGCGGGCGCAACUUGCGUUUGAUUCUUGCAGCGUGUGGACUGGUUCACCAUCCUUUCAACGGAGAUCUCUUCAUUGGAAUCACUAGCACAAAUGCCCGCAACGGGAAGAACAAUAUUUGUUUUUUUAUGGGUAAAAUACAAUUAUUUUGUAGGCAAGACUCUUCGCAUUUUAGUAUGGAUUUUGAACAAACAACUUCAAAUUUGAACAUUAAACUGUGCAACUAAAGCUUAUUUUUGUCUUUGUGUGGCCG
rnacentral:lncRNA from 1 species